CCUACGGGCGGCUGCAGUGGGGAAUAUUGGACAAUGGGGGGAACCCUGAUCCAGCCAUGCCGCGUGUGUGAAGAAGGCCCUCGGGUUGUAAAGCACUUUCAGUGAGGAAGAACGCCUGGUGGUUAAUACCCAUCAGGAAAGACAUCACUCACAGAAGAAGCACCGGCUAACUCCGUGCCAGCAGCCGCGGUAAUACGGAGGGUGCGAGCAUUAAUCGGAAUUACUGGGCGUAAAGCGCGCGUAGGUGGCUUGAUAAGCCGGUUGUGAAAGCCCCGGGCUCAACCUGGGAACGGCAUCCGGAACUGUCAAGCUAGAGUGCAGGAGAGGAAGGUAGAAUUCCCGGUUUAGCGGUGAAAUGCGUAGAGAUCGGGAGGAAUAACAGUGGCGAAGGCGGCCUUCUGUACUGACACUGACACUGAGGUGCGAAAUCGUGGGUAGCAAACAGGAUUAGAUACCCCUGUAGUC
rnacentral:rRNA from 1 species